rnacentral:rRNA from 1 species
CCAAUAGCGUAUAUUAAAGUUGUUGCAGUUAAAAAGCUCGUAGUUGAAUUUCGGGGUUCUACCGUUGGUCGGGCAAUUGUCUGUACUGGCGUGUGGAAUUUCUACCUUCUGGGGAACCGUCAUGUUAUUAAUUUAGCGUGGUGGGAAACCAGGACCUUUACCUUGAAAAAAUUAGAGUGUUCAAAGCAGGCUUACGUCUGAAUACAUUAGCAUGGAAUAAUAAAAUAGGACGGUGGUCCUGUUUUGUUGGUUUCUGAAUCACCGUAAUGAUUAAUAGGGAUAGUUGGGGGCAUUAGUAUUCAAUUGUCAGAGGUGAAAUUCUUGGAUUUAUUGAAGACUAACUUCUGCGAAAGCAUUUGCCAAGGAUGUUUUCAUUAAUCAAGAACGAAAGUUAGGGGAUCGAAGACGAUCAGAUACCGUCGUAGUCUUAACCAUAAACUAUGCCGACUAGGGAUCGGACGAUGUUAAUUUUUCUUGACUCGUUCGGCGCCUUACG